rnacentral:rRNA from 1 species
AUGAUCUUCCCUCCUGCCUUCCUCGAUUCAUCAAGCUGCUGGAAUACCAACCAUAACCAGCUUCAGCUGCAGCAAAUCGGCUGUAACACUCAUGUCACUACUACUCCUUCACCUGCUGGUCAUGGAGACGGAGGAGGCAGCAACAACAACAAUCAUGGUCAGCAGGAAGGAUUAAUGGCCACGGCUGGGGCUGGAGGAGGUGGUGGUGAGGGCGGCGGUGGGGAUGGUGACAGCGCUGGCGGCGGGAACAACAAGCCGAUGUCGAUGUCGGAGCGGGCGCGGCUGGCGCGGGUGCCGCAGCCGGAGCCGGGGCUCAACUGCCCACGCUGCGACUCCACCAACACCAAGUUCUGCUACUUCAACAACUACUCCCUCACCCAGCCCCGCCACUUCUGCCGGGCCUGCCGUCGCUACUGGACCCGCGGCGGCGCGCUCCGCAACGUCCCCGUCGGCGGCGGGUACCGUCGCCACGCCAAGCGCAGCGCCAAGCCCAAGGCCGGGUCGGCUGGAUCCGGAUCCGCCGCGGCAGGGACGUCGUCUGCGACGUCGACGACGCCCAGCACCACUGCUUGCACCACCGGCACUGCCACUGCGCCGCCCGCUCUGCAGUACUCCAUGUUCGGCAGCGCGCCGCCGCACGGCAGUCGGUUCGCCAAUAGCUUCGACCCGGCGAGCCUGGGCCUCAGCUUCCCCGCCAGGCUGCUCUUCCCCGACAGUGGCGCCUACGCGGCCGACGGUGGCGCCCAGCAGCAGCACCACCACCACCAGGGGAACGGGAACGGCAUGGAGCAGUGGGCGGCUGCGCAGAUGCAGAGCUUCCCGUUCCUGCACGCCAUGGAUCACCAGAUGUCCGGGAAUCAGCCGCCGGCUUCAGCAAUGCCCACCACAAUGGCGGCGAUGCAGGGCAUGUUCCACCUAGGGCUACAGAGCGGCGGCGGCGGCGGCAAUGGCGAUGAUGGAGGAAACCAGCAAUUCCACCACCCGCCGGCCAAGAGGGACUACCACCAGCAGCAGCAGCAGGAUUACCCAAGCAGCAGGGGCAUGUACGGGGACGUGGUCAAUGGCAAUGGCGGCGGCUUCAAUUUCUAUUCCAGCACUAGCAAUGCAGCUGGUAAUUAG